rnacentral:rRNA from 1 species
GGAGGGUGCAAGCGUUGUUCGGAAUUAUUGGGCUUAAAGAGCGUGUAGGCGGUUCGGUAAGUCAGAUGUGAAAGCCCUGGGCUCAACCCAGGAAGUGCAUUUGAAACUACCAGACUUGAGUACGGGAGAGGAGGGGGGAAUUCCCGGUGUAGAGGUGAAAUUCGUAGAUAUCGGGAGGAAUACCAGUGGCGAAGGCGCCCCUCUGGACCGAUACUGACGCUGAGACGCGAAAGCGUGGGGAGCAAACAGGAUUAGAUACCCUGGUAGUCCACGCCGUAAACGAUGAGCACUAGGUGUAGCGGGUAUUGACCCCUGCUGUGCCGUAGCUAACGCAUUAAGUGCUCCGCCUGGGGACUACGGUCGCAAGACUA